rnacentral:rRNA from 1 species
UACGUAGGGUGCGAGCGUUAAUCGGAAUUACUGGGCGUAAAGUGUGCGCAGGCGGUUGAGCAAGUCGAGUGUGAAAGCCCCGGGCUUAACUUGGGAAUUGCGCUCGAAACUACUUGACUGGAGUGUGGCAGAGGAAGGUGGAAUUCCACGUGUAGCGGUGAAAUGCGUAGAGAUGUGGAGGAACACCAAUGGCGAAGGCAGCCUUCUGGGCCAACACUGACGCUCAUGCACGAAAGCGUGGGUAGCAAACAGG